UGUGUGCAUUUGUGCUGCCUCUGAUGGGCUGGGAAUCCCACUUGAUUUCUAAAGCAAACGUGGGGAACUUAUAAUAAUAAUAGACUCCUUUGACCAACUAACAUAUAUUCCAAAUCCUACAGCAGAGACCUGCAGAAAGAUGGGGAAGCCCCAGCAAGUUUUAUUGAUUGUUCUGUGGCUUCAGUUAAGCUGGAUAAGUGGCGAAAAUGAGGUGGAGCAGAGUCCCCCGUACCUGAGUGCCCAGGAGGGAGACUUUGUCACUGUCAACUGCAGCUACUCGGUAGUUAUGACCACCUUACAGUGGUUGCAACAGAAGCCUGGCGGAGGCAUCGAAUCCUUGUUUAUACUGAGCCUAGAGAUGAAGAAGGAAGGAAGGGUAAGCGCCACAAUAAACAGAAAGGAACGUCACGGCUCCCUGCACAUCACAGCCGCUCAGCCCAGAGACUCUGCCGUCUACAUCUGUGCUGUGGCCACACGGUGCUCCUCGGGCGUCUGGAGCCCGCACCCAAACCCUAGGGCUGACAGCCAUCAUUUCUUCUCAUUCUUGUCUUUCCAGACACUUCUGUCCCUCUAA